UAAUUCGCCAGAUGUGCCCCACUCCUUAUCGGGGAAACCGGAGUAAUGAUCAGGGCAUGUGCUUUAAACACCAGGAAGCCCUGAAACUCUUCUGUGAGGUGGACAAAGAGGCCAUCUGUGUGGUGUGCCGAGAAUCCAGGAGCCACAAACAGCACAGCGUGCUGCCUUUGGAGGAGGUGGUUCAGGAGUACCAGGUUCAGCUGUUCACUGCUGUAUCACAAGUCAGACUGUUUAAACUUGUUCGUCUACUUCUGUGGCUGUACCCUGGAUCUCAUCUUCAGAUUGGCUACACAUCUGAAAUCAACUCCCAUUGCACUAUGACCUUAGCUCUUAGCCUUCCAAUACACUUAAGCCACUCCAAUUACACCUGCCCUUCAGCUUUAGGGAGCCCACUGUUUCACUGACUCCAUAUUUUUUCCUUCCCAAUUUAUCAGACAUUUAACAGCCUUACUAUCCUACUGAGCCUAGACUGCAUGAUUCAUUUUGGCAUAAAGACCUGAUACAGGCUGGGCGCGGUGGCUCACGCCUGUAAUCCCAGCACUUUGGGAGGCCAAGGCGGGUGGAUCACGAGGUCAGGAGAUCGAGACCAUCCUGGCUAACACAGUGAAACCCCGUCUCUACUAAAAACACAAAAAUUAGCCAGGCAUGGUGACGUGCACCUGUAGUCCCAGCU
rnacentral:sRNA from 1 species